GACGAACGCUGGCGGCGUGCUUAACACAUGCAAGUCGAACGAAGUGGCGAACGGGUGAGUAAUACGUGGGUAACCUGCCCUCCUUUUUGGGAUAAGCCUUGGAAACGGGGUCUAAUACCGACUAAAGGGGGAUGGGCUCGCGGCCUAUCAGCUUGUUGGUGGGGUGAUGGCCUACCAAGGCGGUGACGGGUAGCCGGCCUGAGGGGCUGACCGGCCACUUAGGGACGGAGAUACGGCCCAGACGCCGACGGGAGGCGGAAGUGGGGGAUAUGGCACAAUGGGUGAAAGACUGAUGCAGCGACGCCGCGUGAGGGAUGAGGGCUUGCGGGUUGUAAACCUCUUGCGGUAAAGAACGGGGAGGUGGAGAAUAAGCGCCGGCUAACUACGUGCCAGCAGCCGCGGUAAUAC
rnacentral:rRNA from 1 species